rnacentral:rRNA from 1 species
UACGUAGGGUGCAAGCGUUGUCCGGAAUUAUUGGGCGUAAAGAGCUCGUAGGCGGUCUGUCGCGUCGGCUGUGAAAACCCGAGGCUCAACCUCGGGCCUGCAGUCGAUACGGGCAAACUAGAGUACUGCAGGGGAGACUGGAAUUCCUGGUGUAGCGGUGAAAUGCGCAGAUAUCAGGAGGAACACCGGUGGCGAAGGCGGGUCUCUGGGCUGAGAUUGACGCUCAGGCACGAAAGCGUGGGGAGCAAACAGG